GCAUGUGAGAGAGAAUGGUGGGAAAGCUUAGAGUGGGAUGAUGCCACCAUCCCAUCUCACCUUCGGCCAUUUUUCAUCGGGGAUGAGAGUGAUGAAGACUCAGGUUAAAGAGCAAAACAAAGGCAAAAGCAAGUGUUAAUUGGUAAAUGUGUUGCUGAUGUUGAUAAAACUAUAUGUGGAAAGGGAGGCUUUGGCACUUUAGAAAAAAAAAAAAGAUGCAUGGAGUUUUUUAAUGUAUUCGGUAGUGAUAGCAAGAACGUACUCAUUAAGCCAAUGCAAACUUGUUUGAGGAUCAGAAGUUUAAUAUCAGAAUGCUAAAGAAGCAUUGGGUCUUUUGUUACAAUAAUUUAUGAUAAGAUGUUUUUGUCACAAUUUUGUGUUAUUUUGUCUAUUAAGGAUAUUCAUUA